rnacentral:rRNA from 1 species
UACGUAGGUGGCAAGCGUUAUCCGGAAUUAUUGGGCGUAAAGAGCGCGCAGGUGGUUAAUUAAGUCUGAUGUGAAAGCCCACGGCUUAACCGUGGAGGGUCAUUGGAAACUGGUUGACUUGAGUGCAGAAGAGGGAAGUGGAAUUCCAUGUGUAGCGGUGAAAUGCGUAGAGAUAUGGAGGAACACCAGUGGCGAAGGCAGCAUGCCGGCUCCACACUGACGCUGAGGCACGAAAGCGUGGGUAUCGAACAGG